rnacentral:lncRNA from 1 species
GCCGCAAAAUGAAACUGGAAACGUCUUUGUCAAAAACAAAGCUAGAGAACCUUAAAAGUGAUUGCGAUAUCUUUUCUAGACUUUUCAUUUCUUGUCACAGUAGACAGUUUUACUUGGAAUAUUUCUUUAUCCAUAGAAACCAAACUGCUCCUCCGUCUUUAUCUCAGGAUGUCACUUGAAAUAGUGGUAUUAAAUCGCUGCAAAUGGGUUUACUUGAAACAUUCUGCGAUUUGCUGAUCCGAAUUCGGACGCAUUUAUCGUUGGUGGGGCAGCAAUGGUUAAUUCCAGGUCACAAAGUUGGGCAAAAAUAUUUGAUGAUUAUGCUAAUGAUGUCAUACUGCCUUAUAUAAAAUCUUGCAUCGAUAAGUAUUCAAAAGUAGACAUUGUAUUUGAUGUUUACUAAAUGAAUAAUUUAAAGGCUGUGACAAGACAAAGGCAAGGUUCUUGUGCCAGAUGGAAAGGUGUUGGUUCUGGUAGAACACCAAGGGUAUGGAGUAGUUUUCUCUGUGAAGAUGACAACAAAACGAAAUUGUUCAAGUUUCUUGCUGACAAAAUUGCUUCUUAAGAGACUAAUACAAAUGUGUAUGUUACUCAUGGUGAAAAUAUUCUUUGCAAUUUCAAUAAAGAUACUUCCUAUCUAUCCCCUUGUAAUCAUGAAGAAGCAGAUACACGAAUGUUUGUCCAUGUUCGGCAUGAUUAUGAAAAGUGUUGUAAAAUGUAAUUUUAGGUAGUACUGACACAGAUGUAAUAGUAUCAAGAAUUGCAGCAAUCGCAAAAUUAGGUAGAACAAAUUGCGGAUAGGUUAUGGAAGGAAUAACGACUUUUGAUGGCUUCCUGCACGUGACAUAUCAAAUGCGUUUGGUCCUUGUGUAGCUGCUUUUCCUUUCGUCCAUGCAUUUAGUGGAUGUGGCACUUUGUCGAAUUGUCAUGAGAAAGGCAAAAGGUCAGCUUGGCUAACAAUGGAAGGUUUUCCAGAUGUAAAGGAUGUUUUUUUAGGCUUAAGUAUGAAGCGAGGCACGAUGUGAAUUGUUUGCCAGGAAGCAGCGGCAUUGUGAUGCAAUUCCGCCUACAAGAGGUUCUUUUCCAGAGCACAUCAAAAGAGAAGUAUAUCAAGGAGGAGUUGCUUGGGCUCAGCCUGAUUCAUGUAUUCGACAGGUACGUGUUCCAAGUCAUGAACACUGUGGUUGGAUGAAAGAAAGAAUCAAUGACAGUUGGAAACCAAAAUGGACUUCUUUGACUGCCGUUGCAUCCUCGUGUCAGAAAAUUUUGAAAUGCGGAGGCGAAAACCGAGCUGUGUUGGUAACUGUAGAUGCUACCGUUCUGGCCUUCCUUGUACGGGUUGUUGUAUAGGCAACUAUCAGAUAAUUAUAAAAUAAGCAACCUGUCUUUCUAACCAAACUAGGCAUUUAAACUUAACAAAGAGUGUUAACACUUGUUAAGUUGAUGGAAAUUAUAAAAAUAUUUUCUACGUAUUUGCCGCCAUUUUGGAACCGGAAGUCACUAUUUUUCUUCAUUUAUGUGUUGUUUUGUCGUACUUAGGAACUUUU